CAGUCGCCGCGGUAAUACAGAGGGUGCGAGCGUUAAUCGGAUUUACUGGGCGUAAAGCGUGCGUAGGCGGCUUCUUAAGUCGGAUGUGAAAUCCCUGAGCUUAACUUAGGAAUUGCAUUCGAUACUGGGAAGCUAGAGUAUGGGAGAGGAUGGUAGAAUUCCAGGUGUAGCGGUGAAAUGCGUAGAGAUCUGGAGGAAUACCGAUGGCGAAGGCAGCUAUCUGGCCUAAUACUGACGCUGAGGUACGAAAGCAUGGGGAGCAAACAGGAUUAGAUACCCCGGUAGUCCCUGUCUCUUAUAC
rnacentral:rRNA from 1 species